rnacentral:rRNA from 1 species
GUCGGCGUGCUUAACACAUGCAAGUCGAACGGAAAGGCCCUGCUUUUGUGGGGUGCUCGAGUGGCGAACGGGUGAGUAACACGUGAGUAACCUGCCCUUGACUUUGGGAUAACUUCAGGAAACUGGGGCUAAUACCGGAUAGGAGCUCCUGCUGCAUGGUGGGGGUUGGAAAGUUUCGGCGGUUGGGGAUGGACUCGCGGCUUAUCAGCUUGUUGGUGGGGUAGUGGCUUACCAAGGCUUUGACGGGUAGCCGGCCUGAGAGGGUGACCGGCCACAUUGGGACUGAGAUACGGCCCAGACUCCUACGGGAGGCAGCAGUGGGGAAUAUUGCACAAUGGGCGGAAGCCUGAUGCAGCAACGCCGCGUGCGGGAUGACGGCCUUCGGGUUGUAAACCGCUUUCGCCUGUGACGAAGCGUGAGUGACGGUAAUGGGUAAAGAAGCACCGGCUAACUACGUGCCAGCAGCCGCGGUGAUACGUAGGGUGCGAGCGUUGUCCGGAUUUAUUGGGCGUAAAGGGCUCGUAGGUGGUUGAUCGCGUCGGAAGUGUAAUCUUGGGGCUUAACCCUGAGCGUGCUUUCGAUACGGGUUGACUUGAGGAAGGUAGGGGAGAAUGGAAUUCCUGGUGGAGCGGUGGAAUGCGCAGAUAUCAGGAGGAACACCAGUGGCGAAGGCGGUUCUCUGGGCCUUUCCUGACGCUGAGGAGCGAAAGCGUGGGGAGCGAACAGGCUUAGAUACCCUGGUAGUCCACGCUGUAAACGGUGGGUACUAGGUGUGGGGUCCAUUCCACGGGCUCCGUGCCGUAGCUAACGCUUUAAGUACCCCGCCUGGGGAGUACGGCCGCAAGGCUAAAACUCAAAGGAAUUGACGGGGCCCCGCACAAGCGGCGGAGCAUGCGGAUUAAUUCGAUGCAACGCGUAGAACCUUACCUGGGUUUGACAUGGAUCGGGAGUGCUCAGAGAUGGGUGUGCCUCUUUUGGGGUCGGUUCACAGGUGGUGCAUGGCUGUCGUCAGCUCGUGUCGUGAGAUGUUGGGUUAAGUCCCGCAACGAGCGCAACCCUUGUUCACUGUUGCCGGCACGUUAUGGUGGGGACUCAGUGGAGACCGCCGGGGUCAACUCGGAGGAAGGUGGGGAUGACGUCAAGUCAUCAUGCCCCUUAUGUCCAGGGCUUCACGCAUGCUACAAUGGCUGGUACAGAGAGUGGCGAGCCUGUGAGGGUGAGCGAAUCUCGGAAAGCCGGUCUCAGUUCGGAUUGGGGUCUGCAACUCGACCUCAUGAAGUCGGAGUCGCUAGUAAUCGCAGAUCAGCAACGCUGCGGUGAAUACGUUCCCGGGGCUUGUACACACCGCCCGUCAAGUCAUGAAAGUUGGUAACGCCCGAAGCCGGUGGCCUAACCGUUGUGGGGGAGCCGUCGAAGGUGGGACUGGUGAUUAGGACUAAGUC